AUCCCAACUCAAUACUUAACUCAUGUUAAAUAAAUGAUGAUCAAGGAGAAUAUUCAUCCAAUUUAUUACAAAUAUGGCUAAAUAAUGGAUAAAAUACAAAGAUAUAGAUAAAACCCUUUUUUGUAGAUUGGCUAUGAUUUUCCCCAAUGCUUUGUCAAAUCAUUUACUAACUUCUUGAGCUCUAUGUUGUAUCUCCAAAAUAACCAAGAAAAAGAAAAGAAAAAAAAAAAGGAAAACAAAAUAAAAAGAGAGAACCAGCAGAAGACGGAACCAGAAAAAUGAAGCUCUCCAAAAAAACUGUCCAGCUGAUGGUUUUUAUAGUAAAACCUAAGGAAAAUUGCAGCUUUGGUCCCUGGGCUUUUGGAAAGUUACCAAAAAGGUCCCUAGUUUUCUUUUUAAUUACAAAACGGCGCUGCAUCGCCGGAGCAGUGGUGCUGCGGCACCUAGGUCUCUGUUUCAGCAGCUACAAAAGUUGAUUUUGUGUAAUCUGCAGCAAGUCCCUCAAUAAUUGAGGCCAAGUCCCUCAACUUUUGAUCUUGUACAAUUUGGUCCUCAAACUUUGACUUUCAUUUCACUUUUGCCCUCCAUAAAUUUCAUCACAAUUCUUCCACUUUUUGAUUUGUUUGCCUUGGCCUCCAACUUCACAAUUUUGUACAAUUUUAAUCUUUUUUCCUCAUUUUUCCUCCUUUUGCAUUGUUCUCUUUACUUGAGUAAUUUUUAGCCUACAAAAGCAAAUCAUACUUAAUUGUGAGCAGAAUUCCAUUCUUUUAAUCAAUAAUAAGUGUGCAAAAACACAGUUAUCACACCCCCAAACUUAAGUUCUUACUCGUCCCGAGCAAGAUUAUCUACCACACAAUUAAGCAAACGUGAUAAUGGUCAACACACUAAAUAGCUUGCCAAAAUUAUCAAUGAGUGUAAAAUUGUAUAAUCAAUUCACAAAUAUGCUCCAAAUAAUGCUAGCAAAAAUAAUUUAAGCUUAUCCAAUGUUUGAUCGGUGUAUGUGUGUAACGUCACUUUUAAUCAUUAUCUGAAUUAGGAAAAAGUUGUCAAGAUGGAAAAAUCUUCAAAUUGGCUCCAACCCGACCUUUGUGGUCAAAUAUUUCCUUUCCCCACUCGUGAGAUUCAUACUAAAAUAGAUAUUAUUGUACUUCCCGAGGUGUAAAUCUAACGGUUGAUCUCAAUCACUCAUUUCUUUUUCCGCUCUAGUUUGGUUGAGUCUAACCGGCAAUUUCAACAUCUAGGCAUGUGAUGAUUCUCCACUAAUGAGUGCUUCCACAUUCAAGUUUAUAUUAAGCAAUUCAAACCCACUAGUUAUCUAAGCCCAAAUAUGAAUAACAAUAAUUUUCUCUCUCUUUUUUUUAAAAGCCGAAUCUCAUGUUUUACCUCACUCCCUUAAACUUUCUUCUUAACCCUUGUAGCGAGUUUUAGGUCGAUAACUCCUUGGUUGUUUAGGACAAAGGGUAUUGGGUUUCAAAAUACCUCUAUGAACUUAAUAAAUCGAGUAAAAAAAGGCUACAAAGUGAGGCCCAAGAUUCAAACAAGUACAAAAACUUCAUUUUUUUUAACACAACAAAAAUGGGGCUUAGAUCACUAGCAUACGAUCAUUACCUAGCUUACACUGGGCAAAAGACACUCCACACAAAUAUUUUCAACAUGCACGGAAUCACACACUUCUAGAUAAUCUCCUUCACCGGCUCGACCACCCCCAAACUUAUCUCAUAAUGUGGUAAAGUGAAAGAAAAGAUAAUAUAGAUUUAUACAAAUUUCCAAACAACUCGCAAGUGACAAUCUAGUUCAACCAAUUCAAAAAUAUAUCCUUCAAUCAAAAAUUUUCCACAUCUAGAUAACAAUUAAUCAUCACUAUUGUGCUCAAAGUAAUUCAAAAUCUCACAAUAGAUAAGCAAUUUUUUUUUGAAAAAAUUACACACAAAUAGCAUAUUUGGUCAUAUAUGCAUAACUCAUGAAUCAAAAACAAUUUCAAACGUCAAAACCAUGCAAAGCCAGUAAGGCUAUCUAACAUAUCAACACAAUAUCACCAAUUCAAGCACCCACCAAACUUAAACCACACAUUGUCCUCAAUGUGUAAAGAACAAGAUAAAGAGGAGAGGGAUAACGAAACUUCCCCGAUUGGACUUUUUGAAGAGGUCCCAAUGUUUGACUUGGACUUGUAAUGCUCUUGAAUUGCUAGGGCAAUUGACCCUUUUGUACACUAAUUUACCCCCAAACUUGUUGAGAUCUAUUGGUGGCUAGGACUUCAAAAAUUUUGACCUACAAAGGAAUUUUAUUAAUUCAAAAUAUAAUAAUAAAAGUAUUAAUCACAAGUAUCAUAAACAAAAGUGUUAGGAUAAGAAAGUUGGGUUGCCUCCCAACAAGCGCUUGGUUAUAGUCCCUAGCUCGACUAUAGGCCUUGUUCACUCCAAAUUGGCAAGAGGAAUGGAGGACUUCUCCUUAGAAAAAUCACCUCCAAAGUAUGGUUUCAAUCGUUGCCCAUUAACCUUGAAGUUCCCCUUUUCCUCAUGAUGAAGUUCAAUUGCUCCAUGUGGAAAAAUCUUAGCAAUGGUAAAAGGACCAGACCAUCUCGAGCGGAGCUUUUUGGGAAACAAUCGGAGUCGAGAACUGUAGAGAAGAACUUGUUGCCCAACAAAGAACUCGCGUUUCAUAAUGUGUUUAUCAUGCCAUUUCUUAUCUUUUCUUUGUAAAUUUGAGCAUUCUCAUAAGAGUCAAGGUAAACUUCAUCCAAUUCAUUCAAUUGGAGCAAUCUUUUCUCACCGGCCAAUUUCACAUCAAAAUUCAAAUCUUUUACUGCCCAAUAAGCUCGAUGCUCAAGUUCUACUGAGAGGUGGCAAGCUUUCCUAAACAAAAGACGAUAGGGAGACAUACCAAUAAGCGUUUUGAAUGCGGUACGAUAAGCCCACAAUGCAUCAUCCAAUUUCUUGGAUCAAUCUUUUCUAGAGGCACUCACCGUCAAUUCAAGAAUCCUCUUCAACUCCCGAUUCGAAAUUUCAACUUGGCCACUAGUUCGGGGAUGAUAGGGAGUGGCUACACGAUGCUUUACUUCAUAUUUGGUCAAUACUGGGUCAAAAAGGCGAUUAGAAAAAUGUUUACCUCUAUCACUAAUGAUAGCUCGGGGGUUGCCAUAGCAAGAGAAAAUAUUUUUCUUAAAAAAGUUUACUACCACCCGAGCAUCAUAAGUGGGCAAAGCCACCGCUUCUACCCACUUUGACACAUAAUCAACCGCUACCAAUAUGUAUUGAUUUGAGAAUGAAGGAGGAAAAGGUCCCAUAAAAUCAAUACCCCAUACAUCAAAAAUUUCCACCUCUAAUAUAGAAUUCAAAGGCAUUUCAUUUAGGUUGGAAAUAUUACCACUGCGUUGGCAUUUGUCGCACUUGGAGACAAGAGUGUGAGCAUCUUUGAAUAAUGUGGGCCAAUAAAAAUCGGAUUGAAGUACAUUUGAUGCGGUUUUCAUGGCCCUAAAGUGACCACCAAAGGGUGAGGAAUGACAUUGUUCAAGGAUUUGCUCCAUUUCAUCUUUUGACAUACAUCUCCGAAUAAUUUGAUCGGGGCCCCGUUUGAACAACAAAGGAUCGUCCCAAAAAUAAUGCUUGAUGUCGGCAAAGAACUUCUUCCUCUGUUGGUAAGAGAGAUCCGGGGGAAUGAUGCCACUAGCAAGAAAGUUCACAUGGUUCACAUACCAUGGUAUAUGGAUGGCUUGUAGAAGAUGCAUAAUUUGCAAGAGUUGUUCAUCGGGAAAUACCUCAUUUAUCUCCCCAUCUACCAUCUCUUUGGUUUGCUCAAGUCGAGAGAGAUGAUCGGCAACAACCUUUUUGGUCCCUUUUUUAUCGUAAAUUUCCAAGUCAAACUCUUGUAGAAGAAGGAUCCAUCUAAUUAACCGAGGCUUGGCAUCUUUCUUUGCUAGCAAAUACUUGAGGGCUGAGUGGUCCGUGUAAAAAAUCACUUUCGAUCCAAUGAGGUAAGAUCAAAAUUUAUCAAAUGCAAAUACCACUGCGAACAUCUCUUUUUCAGUAGUGGCAUAGUUCAGUUGAGCAUCAGUCAAAGUCCGGCUAGCAUAGUAAAUAACAUGCAAGAUUUUAUUUCUCCUUUGUCCCAAAACUACUCCAACGGCAUAAUCGCUUGCAUCGCACAUAAGCUCAAAUGGUAAAUUUCAAUCCAGAGCUACAAUAAUAGGACUCUUUAAGAGUAUUAAAAGAAUGGAGGCACUCUUGAGAGAAAUCAAAUGGAGUGUUCUUCUCAAGUAAGGAGCAAAGUGGCUUUGUGAUUUUCGAGAAGUCCUUGAUAAACCUCCUAUAAAAUCCGGCAUGUCCCAAAAAACUCAUAUCCCUUUCACCGAGGUAGGUGGAGGUAAUUUCUCAAUGACUUGGAUUUUUGCCUUGUCAACCUCUAUCCCUUUAAGUGAAAUCCGAUGGCCGAGAACUAUGCCUUCUUGGACCAUGAAAUGACAUUUUUCCCAAUUAAGUACUAAAUUUGUCUCCUCACAUCUUUUCAACACCAUCUCUAAAUUGCUCAAAGAUCCAUCAAAUUAGGCCCCAAAUACCGAGAAGUUAACCAUAAAAACCUCAAUACAUUUCUCCACCAUAUCGGAGAAUAUAGCAAUCAUACACCUUUGAAAAGUGACCGGUGCGUUACAAAGGCCAAAGAGCAUCCUUCUAUAUGCAAAUGUACCAUAUGGGCAUGUGAAUGUAGUUUUCUCUUAAUCCUCUGGGGCUAUAGGAAUUUGAUUAUAGCCUGAAUACCCAUCCAAGAAAUAAUAUUGAGAAUACCCCGCUAACUGCUCAAGCUUUUGAUCAAUAAAAGGAAGAGGAAAGUUAUCCUUCCUUAUAGCCUUGUUAAGCUUACGGUAAUCUAUGCAUACCCUCUAACCGAUCACGAGCCUACUAGGUAUGAACUCAUUAUCCUCAUUUUCCACAACCAUUACACCUCCUUUCUUUGGCACUACUUGAAUGGGGCUCACCCAUGCACUAUCUGAAAUCGGAUAAAUAAUGCCCGCAUCAAGCCACUUUCCCAUCUCGACUCUUACCAUUUCUUUCAUGUUGGGGUUUAACUACCUUUGAUGCUCCACUGAUGGUUUGAAAUCAUCCUCCAUAAGGAUUUUACGCAUGCAUAGUGAAGGACUAAUUCCCUUAAUGUCUGCAAUAGUCCAACCAAUGGCUCCCUUGUGCUCCCUCAACACUCGAAGUAACUUUUCUUCCUCCAAUUCAUUUAAGGAAUUAGCAAUGAUAAUCGAAAGCAUAGAUGACUCUCCCAAAUAAGGAUACCUUAAAUGAGAUGGAAGAGGCUUCAAAUCAAGUAUAGGUGCCUGCUGAAGAGAUGACAGUGGUGGUGAAGAGCUCUUUUCCAAGUCCUCAUAAUUUGGUGUUCUCUUAAAAGAUCGAGAAUGUAUAGCUUCCAAAUAGUGUACCAUAUGCUCAACUUUAGAAUCUUCCUCUUUGAUAGCUGAAGGACAAACAAGACAUGUUUUUAGAGGAUCCUUAGAAAGCCUGUAAAAAGACUCGACAACCACAUGAUCAACAAUAUCCACUCGAAGGCAUGAAUCAAAUUCCGAUGGAUGCUUGAUGGCCUUCAAGAUAUUGAAUGUAACUUUUUCAUCUUCGACUCUUAGAAUGAGCUGUCCCUCUUGUACAUCAAUCAAAGCUCGGCCAAUGGCAAGAAACGAUCGUCCUAAAAUGAUAGGGAUGUCAUGAUCCUCUUCCAUGUCAAGAAUUAUGAAAUCGGCUGAAAAUAUAAAUAUGUCCACCUUGACCAAUAUAUCCUCAAUGAUACCCCGAGGAUAUUUAAUUGAUCGAUCAGCCAAUUGUAAUGAUACACUGGUGGCCUUAGCUUCUCCAAUCCCAGCUUCCUGAAAAUAGACAAAGGCAUCAAAUUAAUACUGGCACCAAGAUCACAUAAAGUUUUACUAAAAUUUAAAUCUCCAAUAGUGCAUGGAAUAGUAAAACCUCCUGGAUCUUUGAUUUUCGGUGGUAGCUUCUUUUGAAGGAUAGCACUACACUCUUUCGUUAGCAUUACUGUUUCAUGUUCUUCGAGUUUCCUUUUGUUUGAAAGAAUAUCCUUCAUAAUUUUGGCAUAACUCGGCAUUUAAGCUAAUGCAUCGGGAAACGAAAUGUUUAUGUGUAGCUUCUUGAAUACCUCCAAAAAUUUUCCAAAUUGAGCAUCUAAUUUCUGUUUGUGAAGCCUUUGUGGGAAGGGAAUAGGACACACAUAGGCUUUGACCGGUAUUGGAGCCUUUAAUGUUGAUGGCUCCGAUUCUUCUUCAAUUAGUGUCUCAUCCUUUGGAUCAGGUUCUUGCAUAAUCCUUUCUUCUUCAAUAGGUACCUUGUCGAUUUGACCCUUAGGGCAUGUCACCGUGAUUUCGGCAAUUGCACCCACUUCUAGUGGUAAUAGUUUGUACAUUCUCCCUUGGAUUUGUUUUGGUGUUGCUAGGUAAUGCCCCCUGUUGCCUUUCGGAGAUAAGUUUGGCAAUUUGACCCACUUGAAGUUCCAAUUUUUUCAAAGAGGCAUCAUUGCGUUCUUGAUAUUGCAAUUGAUAGUUUGCCAACUUAUUCCCAACCUUCUUUUUUCUCUUGUGGCCUCGGGUUGAGCACAUUUUGAUUAUUUCCAUAAGAAAAGUUCGGAUGAUUUCGCCAACCGGGGUUAUAAGUUGACGAAUAAAGAUUGUACCCUUGGCGUUGAAAGUUUUGAGUAUAUGUCACUUCCUUGGUAGAUGCUGAACCACUACCUAUCAAUGGACAACUCGGGCUUGGGUGAUUUGCUCCACAAAUAUUACAAAUAGGCGGAGAUUGUACCAUAUGAGUGGAAUGAGAGAUCGAGGUAGAUGUAGAAAGUCCUUCUACCUUCUUUGCUAGUGAGUCGAUCUUUGCUAGAACCAUUGAGAAAGCUUUACCAUCUCAAACUCUACCAACCCCUCUUUGUGAACCUCUAUUCGGCCACAUAGCACUUUGUUCACUCAUGACCUCAAAUAGAUCAUAUGCUCCCCGAAUACUCUUCUUCUUGAUUGAGCCAUUAUAUGAUGAAUCCACAUUUGAACGGUAAGAAGGAGUCGACCCGGCAUAAAAAUAAUUCACUUGUUGCCCCAUUGUGAUUCCAUGAUUUGGACAUUUUCGAAGCAUAUCUUGAACCUCUCCCAAGCCUCGUGAAAGCUCUCAAAUUCGAAUUGUUGGAAGGUGGUUAUGUCAUGCUUAAGUUUGGCUACACGGUCAGGUGGAAAGAAUUUGGUUGUGAAUUUUUGAAUAAAUUCCAACCAACUAUUUAUACUUUCGGGCGGUAGAGUCUCAAGCCAUUCUCUUGCCUUAUCCGUCAAUGUGUGAACAAAUAACCUCAUCUGGAUCGCCUCCACAUUUAUGCCUUCAUAUUUAAAAUUUCCAACAUUCUCUAUGAAUCGUGCAACAUGUGAGUGAGGAUUCUCAUCAAUCCUUCCAUAGAAUGGAAUGGCAUUGGAGAACAAACUAAUAACAUCCGAACGAUGUUGAAAGUUUGGAUGUCCAUAUGGAGGGUAGAUAAUACUUGAUUCAUUCUCUAAUACGGGUGGAUUGAAGUCCCCAAAUAGCAUAUCUUCCUCAUUUACAAUAGGCUCUUGAGCUCUACCCACUUGGUUACCAAAACCCGGUGGAAUGCCACCUCGAGGAACAUGUUCCGGUUGAGCAUUAUGUUCCAAAUUACCCCUUUGGUGUGUCAUCUCAAUCAAUUGUUGCCUUCUCAAUUCCCUUUGUUCCCGUCGCCUUCUUCGGAAAGUUUUUUCAAUAUCUGGAUCAAGCUCGAAAAGAUCAAAACUUCUCGAACGAAGCAUGCACCACCAAAGACCUAAAGAAAUCACACAAUAAAUAUAUAAAAGCUACGCAAAAGAAAAAAGAACAAAACUUGUAAAAAUUAGAAUCAACAAAAGAUGAUAAUUGAAAUAAAACACUCCCCGGCAACGGCGCCAAAAACUUGUUCGCUAAAAAACUAUACUGCAAGUGUACGGGUCGCGUUUAAGUAAUAAAGUGGACCUUUGAAAUCCGGGUUGUCGAUCCAUCGAGGAAUGUUUACUUUAAAUUAUACAACUUUAAUCAAUUUAAUUCUAACAAUGAAAAUAAACAAACACACAAUAAAGAGUUGAUUUUAGAAAAUAAGGAAAAACGUACUAACUAAGAAAAUAAUAAAGUCUGGAAAAUUUCGGAGGAAAAGUGGUUGGAAUUCAUGGUUUCAUUUAACCGUAGCCUAAUCAAUUUCUCCACAUGCCAAUUAACACACUACUCAUUUACGAUGUUAGACUCAAUCUUCCAAUUUUAGCUAAUUACCUCACUCGAGUGAAAUUAACCCUAAUUGAUUGGUUUAAUCUACUAUAUCUCUAUGUCGGUUACAACCAAACAACCGCAUUAAAUUGUUGUGAAAAUAGUUCAUUGGAUUACCUAGAGCUAGAGGUAUAUCUCUAUCCAUUACGCAAACCUAGAGUUCCUACCAUUUGGCCUAAAAUGCACAAUUUCUCUCAAAUGAUGUACACUUCAUGAAACACAUUCAUUCAUUAGCCACAUAAAUGAAAAUGCAAUAAAUACAAUAAUAGAAACACAUGACAUAAGCAACUUGACAUUAAAGAGCAAAUAUUGAAAAUCAAUUAAAACUAGGUUAAACUAACACCAUAAAUCCCAACACAAUACUUAGCCAAUGUUAAAUAAAUGAUAAUCAAGAAGAAUAUUCAUUCAAUGUAUUACAAAUAUGACUAAAUAAUGGAGAAAAUACAAAGAUAUAGAUAAAACCCUUUUUUGUAGAUUGGCUAUGAUUUUCCCCAAUGCUUUGCCAAAUCCUUUGCUAACUCCUUGAGCUUUAUGUUAUAUCUCCAAAAUAACCAAGAAAAAGAAAACAAAAAGAAAAGGAAAAGAAAAUGAAAACAAAAUAAAAAGAAAAAAACCAGCAGAAGACGGAACCAA
rnacentral:lncRNA from 1 species